UCCAGCCAUGCCGCGUGAGUGAUGAAGGCCUUAGGGUUGUAAAGCUCUUUUAGCAGGGAAGAUAAUGACUGUACCUGCAGAAUAAGCCCCGGCUAACUUCGUGCCAGCAGCCGCGGGUAAUACGAAGGGAGCUAGCGUUGUUCGGAAUCACUGGGCGUAAAGCGCACGUAGGCGGAUUUGUAAGUGAGGGGUGAAAUCCCGGGGCUCAACCUCGGAACUGCCUUUCAUACUGCAGAUCUCGAGUCCGAUAGAGGUGGGUGGAAUUCCUAGUGUAGAGGUGAAAUUCGUAGAUAUUAGGAAGAACACCGGUGGCGAAGGCGGCCCACUGGAUCGGUACUGACGCUGAGGUGCGAAANSGUGGGGAGCAAACAGGAUUAGAUACCCUGGUAGUCCACGCCGUAAACGAUGGAUGCUAGCCGUCGGAUAGCUUGCUAUUCGGUGGCGCASUAACGCAUUAAGCAUCCCGCCUGGGGAGUACGGCCGCAAGUUAAAACUCAAAGGAAUUGACGGGGGCCCGCACAAGCGUGGAGCAUGUGGUUUAAUUCGACGCAACGSAAGAACCUUACCAG
rnacentral:rRNA from 1 species